GCAGAGGAGGUGCCAGGGGUUUGGGUUUCCCGUCGUGUCGGGGGUGUGGCGCAGGUUGCCCCAGUGGGCCUGAAUGUGCCUCCGUGGGGCACCUUGUUGCCGUGUUGGGGGCGGGGAGCCGGCCUUGGGGAUCCAUCUUUCGGGCCCUGGGACGUGGGAGAAGAAUGCCGGGGCCUCUCUCUGUGCCCCUGGCACGCCUCUGUGCAGGCCGGGCCUGCACCACCCCCCGCGCCCGUCCCCAGGCAGGGUCCGUGUGGCUGCAGACACCCAGAGAGAGGGGAGGCUGGGGAGGCUGGGGAGCCGUGGCAGCCCGAUGCAGUGCGGGUCUCCAGGUGGAGGGGCCCUGGUCCCCUGGCGCCAGCGUGGCCCUUCCUCCUUGUGGAAACCCUUGUGGUGUGUGUGCUCUCUCGCCCUGACCCAGGAGAGCAGCAUGGCGGACCCCUGAUCUUGUGGCGUGCCACCGCGCGAGGCCGAGGAGCUCCCGCAGACCAGUGGGCGUGGCGUCCUUGUCGCGGCUCUGUGGAGACCUGGCGAUGGAGAGCAGCAUGGCGGACCCCUGAUCUUGUGGCGUGCCACCGCGCGAGGCCGAGGAGCUCCCGCAGACCAGUGGGCGUGGCGUCCUUGUCGCGGCUCUGUGGAGACCUGGCGAUGGUGAGCGGCCCCUGUCCUCAGUGGUGGAGAACUCGCCCUUGGGGCGCUCGUCGUCCGGAGCCCCGGGCCACCCCGCUUCUCGCGGGCUUUGGCCCCGGCAGGCCAGCUCCGGGGGCGUGAGGGGAGCGUCCCGUCCUGCCCAGUGGCUCGUCUGUCUGGGCACGCCCCCAAACGCUGCCGUGAUGGAGCGGGGUGGAUGUCCAGGUGCGGAGGCCGUGAAUUUGCCUUGCGGCGGCGGAGCCCGUGCUCGGAUCGAUGAUGACUCCCUCUAAAGCAUUCCUUGGAAAUCUGAACAAAAUGAGUGAGAACUCACUACCGUCUCCUCAUCGAAACUGAGGUCCGGCACGUGGCGGCCACCGGGGGCUCGGGGGCCCUUGGCCUUGGGGCCUCUGUGUGUCAGCAGCCACUCGGGUGAGGUCUGGGGAAGGC
rnacentral:lncRNA from 1 species